rnacentral:lncRNA from 1 species
GCAGUUAAUAUUUUGAACUGAUUUUUUCUUCUUCUUGAUAUAUUAUAUUUUAGGAAUAUAUUGCAUAAGAUUAAUAAUUUGUUUUAAGAAGAAACAAAUGAGGAAAUAAUUUUAAUUAUUGUGAACUUUCUCCAUGUAAGAAAAAAGAAAAACAAAAAAAAAAUCUCCAUGUACAUGAAACUAGAUUAUCUAUUUUUGGCAAUAAAACAGUGGCCAAGUAUCCCACCCGAGGUGAAAUAAUUGAAGCGGUAGUUAAUAUUCCAUUCUACGACAAAAAAAAAUUACGUAAUGAGUUCAUUCUUUAUGACAGCUGAUGAAAACGUACGUUACACAAAACUUAG